rnacentral:lncRNA from 1 species
AAAAAAACUAGUAGAUUUUAAAAUAUUUUUUGAAAAAUAAACCUGCAAAUACCUACAUGGGAGGAAAAAUUCAAGCGAUAGCUCAUUCGACGCGGAAUAUAACUCUAAAAUUCUGAGAGGCGUAUUUUUUAUUGCAAGCCAAAAUUGCAGUUUGAUAACUUAAAAACAAAACCCUAGAAUAGAGUCUAACUGACUAUAUCUCAACUAUUGUAGGUACUGUACGGUUUAUAACCCAACUACUUACUAUUAUAGUGAUAUUUUAAACACAAAAGAAGACCCUUGAAGAAGAGAAUUAACGAUUAUUCGCAGAACUGGAAGAGUAGCGCGGAGCGAGCGCCGACCAGCGCGGCCCGGCGCCGGCGCGACUGAACGUGGACAUCUAUUCGUUUGUAUUCAUUAUUUAGAAGUGAAAUACAUUUGUUAUUAUUUAAAAACAAAAUGCUCAUGAUUGUCGCCCCCGCGCCACGAACGCGUCGAGGGGAUUUGAUUGUGACAACCUUUAGCGUAAUGUUUAUUUAUUAUAUUACUAUAAAUAAUAAAGUUAUUAUCUUGAUUGUU